rnacentral:rRNA from 1 species
ACCAGACUCCUACGGGAGGCAGCAGUGAGGAAUAUUGGUCAAUGGCCGGAAGGCUGAACCAGCCAAGUCGCGUGAGGGACGACGGCCCUACGGGUUGUAAACCUCUUUUGCCGGGGGACAAACGGCGGCACGCGUGCCGUCCUGAGGGUACCCGGAGAAAAAGCAUCGGCUAACUCCGUGCCAGCAGCCGCGGCAAUACGGAGGGUGCGAGCGUUAUCCGGAUUUAUUGGGUUUAAAGGGUGCGCAGGCGGAUUUUUAAGUCAGCGGUCAAAUCGUGGGGCUCAACCCCAGCCAGCCGUUGAAACUGGGGAUCUAGAGUGUGCGAGAGGUAUGCGGAAUGCGUGGUGUAGCGGUGAAAUGCAUAGAUAUCAGGAGGAACACCGGCGGCGAAGGCGGCCUGCUGGACUGAAACUGACGUUGAGGCUCGAAAGCGUGGGGAGCAAACAGGAUUAGAUACCCUUGUAUA